GUUCAGUCCUUUCCGUAACCAACAGAGUUUCUAAAAUGCGACAACUCUGAGGGUUUUGGUGCGUUUGAGGGGGUGUGGCGGGCCCAUCGAUUGUAACCCUGCUUCGUUUCUUCUAGACUCACGUAGUACUAUGACAUAUCCAAAGGACAUCGAAAUUUGGCGCCGGCAACCUGUGACCUUCUACUCCUAGAUAAGUAAGGUCUGGAAUACCUAAGUUAUGCCACGUUCGUUUUUGUUUGUCGGGAAUCCCGACUCGGGAUACUUAAACGACGUAUAAAACCCAGGAUAUGAACGCAAGUACUUACGUGUGGCCUGCAUCCUGCCAUUGUUGAAAAAUUCAAUGAACAAUUAAACAAAUAACUUAAACUAUUUAUUUAUUGGGUCAGAUGGCCCGUCUCAUAGAAACGACCGUUAUUAUUAAAAUUAGUACAAUUAUUUUAAUAUAUUAACGACAGGAAAUACAUGCAUCGAAUUGUAUUCUAAGAAUGCAAAUUAUGUGAACUAAAUAAAGCUAAUUAUAAUUAUAAUUACACUAUGUAAGGGAUGUGUGACAAUAUUCAGUACGAUUCAGCAAAUAAUUUAUUAACCUAACUGGAUUAAACUUUAUUUUUAGUCAUAACAUUCUAAAUAU